rnacentral:lncRNA from 1 species
AACAGAGGAGCAGCAUGGCAUGAGAACUCACGUGUUGACUGUCCCUUCACUGCAGUUUGGGGAACAGAACGAGCCACGUGGCCCCAAGGAGACCCAGAUGGAUAUUAAAAUGUCUCCAGAACAAAGCGUGGGGAUCCAUUUUCCUUUCAUGAGCAACGAAUUUCUCUGUGAUACCUAGAAGCUGUUUAGCUAAAUUACAGGAGACAUUCGAACUUCCCAGAGAGAAUUGUGAGGGUUCUGUUGAGAAUCAUCAUGCCAUUUAGCUCAAGGAAACAAGAGGAGGAAGAAAUCAUUAGAGAUGCAGCUGCUUACAUGCAAGAGCAUGUGCACGAAGCCUGGAUACACAGAUGCAUGUGUGCGAGAGAAGGUGUACGGGAUUAGAGAGCUCUGAAUGGCCUCAUAAUAGAAUCCCAGGGGAGGGCCGGAGGUCCCAGGCCAGCGAUGCUCACACGCCCAUCUCCUCCUGUCUGUGCCGCACAAAGCCUGACAAGGCCUCACUCAUGUUUCAAAGCGCUUUCUCUUUUCAGAGCUAUUUGUUAUUGUCUCUGCCAUCACAAGUUUAAAAAAGGAAAGUUAAUUAAAUAUGGAACAAGACUGAGCAACAUCUUUUAAACCAUCAUGUCAUUAGAACUGGAAUCCUUAGAGAGCUGCUUAAAAGGGGUUUGAGAACAAUGACUGUUCAAUCAGAUAUUUAUGGGCAUAGUUAUGUAAACACACUCUUUAUUGUCUAUGUAUAUUUAAUAUAAUUAUCAGUUUUGUAGUUGGACUCUCCAGAGACCCAACAAAUCACAGUGUUGCUUUGAAAAUGUCAGCAGAAAAGACAAUUAUGUUGCUAGCAAAUAUUCAUAAAUUAUAUUAAAAAGUCCUGUGGAAAUGUCCCCAUGUUGCAGAAUCCUUUGCAGGAACUAAAUGAUUCUUGUAUUUCUUUGAU